rnacentral:RNase_P_RNA from 2 species
AUUUUUGGAUAAUCGCGUGGGAUAGAGAUUCCAUGAGGAAAGUCCAUGCUAGCACGGGCUGUGAUGCCCGUAGUGUUUGUGCUAGGUGAAACGAUAAGCCUAGGGACGAGAGAUCGUUACGGCGGACAAAAAGGCUACGUUUUCGAAUAGGCCUGACUAGUCCUGAAAGUGCCACAGUGACGGAGUUUUCCUGGAAACGGGAAAAGUGGAACGCGGUAAACCCCUCAAGCUAGCAACCCAAACUUUGGUCGGGGCAUGGGAUGCGUGGAAGACGAACAUAGCAUCCUGACUGGAAACAGUAGACAGAUGAUUAUCGAAGGAGGCGAGACCUAGUCGCUUCUGGAACAAAACAUGGCUUAUAGAA